rnacentral:snoRNA from 11 species
UUUUUUUUUAAUAUGAUGAAAUACCAAUGCAACAUAGAGUCAAGCUCUGAGCUAUACAAAUAGAUAGAAUAGCACGGAAGAGACUUGCUACUUAUUAUCUGAUCCCAUAAAA